GCCUACGGGCGGCAGCAGUGGGGAAUAUUGGACAAUGGGCGAAAGCCUGAUCCAGCCAUGCCGCGUGUGUGAAGAAGGCCUUCGGGUUGUAAAGCACUUUCAGUGGGGAAGAAAGCCUUGGGGCUAAUACCCUCGAGGAAGGACAUCACCCACAGAAGAAGCACCGGCUAACUCCGUGCCAGCAGCCGCGGUAAUACGGAGGGUGCGAGCGUUAAUCGGAAUUACUGGGCGUAAAGCGCGCGUAGGCGGUCUGAUAAGCCGGUUGUGAAAGCCCCGGGCUCAACCUGGGAACGGCAUCCGGAACUGUCAGGCUAGAGUGCAGGAGAGGAAGGUAGAAUUCCCGGUGUAGCAGUGAAAUGCGUAGAGAUCGGGAGGAAUACCAGUGGCGAAGGCGGCCUUCUGGACUGACACUGACGCUGAGGUGCGAAAGCGUGGGUAGCAAACAGGAUUAGAUACCCGUGUAGUC
rnacentral:rRNA from 1 species